CUCAGGGCAAGGGCUCAGAGUCGCU
rnacentral:misc_RNA from 1 species